GACGAACGCUGGCGGCGCGCUUAACACAUGCAAGUCGAGCGAAGCGGCGGACGGGUGAGUAACACGUGAGUAACCUGCCUUAGACAUUGGGAUAGCCUCGGGAAACCGGGAUUAAUACCAAAUGGUCUAAGAUGGACUCGCGUCCCAUUAGCUAGUUGGUGGGUAACGGCCCACCAAGGCGACGAUGGGUAGCCGGCGUGUGAGGGUGAACGGCGACAUUGGAACGGGGAAACGGUCCAAACUCUACGGGAGGGAGGAGUGGGGAAUAUUGCAAAAUGGAGGGAACUCUGAUGCAGCGACGCCGGGUGAACGAAGAAGGCUGUGGAGUCGUAAAGUUCUUUUAUAUGGGAAGCGGCACCAGAAGAAAAAGCCCCGGCUAACUACGUGCCAGCAGCCGCGGUAAUUC
rnacentral:rRNA from 1 species